GACGAACGCUGGCGGCGUGCCUAACACAUGCAAGUCGAACGGAAAGGCCCUGCUUUUGUGGGGUGCUCGAGUGGCGAACGGGUGAGUAACGCGUGAGUAACCUGCCCUUGACUUUGGGAUAACUUCAGGAAACUGGGGCUAAUACCGGAUAGGAGCUCCUGCUGCAUGGUGGGGGUUGGAAAGUUUCGGCGGUUGGGGAUGGACUCGCGGCUUAUCAGCUUGUUGGUGGGGUAGUGGCUUACCAAGGCUUUGACGGGUAGCCGGCCUGAGAGGGUGACCGGCCACAUUGGGACUGAGAUACGGCCCAGACUCCUACGGGAGGCAGCAGUGGGGAAUAUUGCACAAUGGGCGGAAGCCUGAUGCAGCAACGCCGCGUGCGGGAUGACGGCCUUCGGGUUGUAAACCGCUUUCGCCUGUGACGAAGCGUGAGUGACGGUAAUGGGUAAAGAAGCACCGGCUAACUACGUG
rnacentral:rRNA from 1 species